rnacentral:rRNA from 1 species
UACGUAGGGUGCGAGCGUUAAUCGGAAUUACUGGGCGUAAAGCGUGCGCAGGCGGUUAUUUAAGUCAGGUGUGAAAGCCCUGGGCUUAACCUAGGAAUUGCGCUUGAGACUGGAUAGCUUGGAGUGCGGCAGAGGGAGGUGGAAUUCCACGUGUAGCAGUGAAAUGCGUAGAGAUGUGGAGGAACACCGAUGGCGAAGGCAGCCUUCUGGGCCAACACUGACACUGAGGCACGAAAGCGUGGGGAGCAAACAGG